rnacentral:lncRNA from 1 species
CCUGGGAUACCUGCAAUGACUGUGGAUAGCUAUGGGGACAGCACUUGGGAGAUGCAGCAGCAAAAAGAAAUUCUAGUUCCAGGUUCCAGAUUGUAGAGAUGACCAGGCCUGCCUGGCCUUCCACAGUGGCCAUGGAUCCUGUGUCGCUUUUUCUCACAAAAGGCUGAUUGUCACAUCACAUAACCUCUCCACUGUCUACGCCUUCCCAUGCCACAAAGUCACUUAUGAAUGAAAGCCCUAUACAGUUCUCGGCCGGCUUACAUCUGCUUCAUGUCGUCUCCGGAACUGGUUUCAACACUAGGGUUCUGCAGCCAGAGGGUGGCCCAGCAGAGAUUCCAGCUGGGACAGGCGGGUCAGCAUCACCGCUGGCAGCUGCUGAUGGAAGCAAUGGCCAGGUGGAAGGCACACCAUCUGGGGUGUAUCAGAAAGAAGUUUCUGCAGAGACAAGCUGCCCAACUCCUGGCACAGAGACUCGGUCGGGCCUGCUUCUGGCAGAGGAAGCAGCUGGCAGUCCGGAAGCAAGAACAGUGGGGCACAGCCGGGCCCUGUGGCUCUGGGCCUUCUCACUACAAGCAAAGGUGUGGACUGCAUGGCUGGGCUUCAUACUUGAGAGGAGGAGGAAGGCCGCAUGAAUGGAACGGGCUAUGCAAGCCUACCAGCAGCAGCAGCUCCUACAGGAGGGUGCCACACAGCUUCUGUGCUUCACAGCUGGUAUGAAUGCCUUCCGGCAGCAGCUCCAGGCCCAGCAGCAGAUCCAGGUAAGCCAGGGCUGCUGGUGAGAGG